GGGUUAGUAACUUAAUUGGCAAAGGAUUUUCUUGUCGAGAAAAUAGAUAUCGGAUCGUAGCCGAUUUAACCCG
rfam:Trichophyton equinum CBS 127.97 supercont1.124 mitochondrial scaffold, whole genome shotgun sequence.